AAUUCUCAACCUUUCGAGCUUUUUGAUUGAAAAGCUAGUUAGGCUUGGAUUAUGGGAGUUUGUUGGCUCUUCUUUGAGUCAGCUCUUCUUAAAUAUAUUAGCAAGAUCAUCGCUAAAUCAUCUUUGAUAUGAUAAUUAUCUAUAUCAUCAUGAUUAUCCUAGUGUUUCCUUCACCGGAAAAGAUCAGGCUUAUAGCUGUCUAAGGACAAAUAUUUUUGAAUC
rnacentral:misc_RNA from 1 species